CGGGGCGUAGCUCAGUUUGGUAGAGCACCAGCUUUGGGAGCUGGACGUCGCUGGUUCGAAUCCAGUCGCCCCGA
rnacentral:tRNA from 1 species